rnacentral:misc_RNA from 1 species
UUAUUGGGCGUAAAGCGUAUACAGGUGGAAAUUUAAGUCUUUUGUGAAAGCUCGAAGCCUAACUUCGAAUAGGCAAAAGAUACUAUCUAAAAUAUUAGAAAAACUAAGUUUUUCUGAUUUUCUUGAGUAUGGUAGGGGUCAAGGGAAUUUCCAGUGGAGCGGUGAAAUGCGUAGAGAUUGGAAGGAACUCCAAAAGCGAAGGCACUUGACUGGGCCAUAACUGACACUCAAAGACGAAAGCUAGGGUAGCAAACGAG